CAAAAAAAAAAAAAAAAAGGUAACUCUAAUGGAUACAAAACAAACUGAACAUGCUAGUCCUUAAAUGUCACUAGAACAAUCAAAAUAAAACCUGUACACCACAUGAAAUUCAAUUCAAGCUCAAAUCUAGAUACCAAACCCAUAAGUAAUACUACACAAUCAAAGGCAUACUGGAGAGGCACAGGUCACUAAGUUCAACAACAUAUUCAGAGUACAUCUAAAAUCACCAGUAACUAGGCAAGAUUAUAAAAAGACAAUUAAUGGAUAGUACAAGUUAACACCAGCAAAAGUAAGAUUAUUUAUCAAAGCAAACAAAAGCAAAUUUAUCAAAGCAAGCAAAAGUAACAUAUACCUUAUUCAAAUCGCAGCAAACAAAACUGAAAAAUCGAUUUACGAACAUGAACAGGAAAAACAUAAAACUAAAUGGAUAAGUCUGCUAGAAAGCAUCUAGGAGUGAUUAAACAUGCUUAAGAAAACAUAUACAUAUAUACUCUUCAGCUGAUUCGAUUUUAGAGAUUACGCUACAAUCAGAUUUAUUACCUGAUUCACAUUCCAUAUAUCUAAAUUCUAACCUUUUUAUACUUGUGAGAAUCAUUCUUACUUAUCCUUGAGAGGCAAUUGCAAAAACAAGCCCUUGAUCAUUCUGAUAGUUAUCACGCUUUCUUUGGUAUGCGACACAUUGUGGAAUGAUCCUUUGCAAAUAAUUUCAUACAUCAGAAGUUGUAAUGUUGAUGACAACUAGCAAGAUUGCACUUUGCAAUUCCACCAAAAUCCAAAGAAAUUCUGUUUUGAAACCUAACAGUCUCAGAUUUAACAGAAACCUAUUACAAAUAAUAACUGCAAUUCUCCAUCCCUAAAGUGAUGAAACCUAUUUCUAUCUCUCACAAAAAUUCCUCCCAUACUACUUUUGAAAUGUAGUUGAAGGCGAGGUUGUACCUCAGAAGUCCAUCAAAAGCCAAACAAAUUUGUUAUUUGAACCGUAACUGUCUCACAUUUUAUAAGAAACUGCUCACCAAUAAUCACCACAAGAGCAUUCACCAUCCUUGAAGUGAUGAAACCUCUUUCCAUCUCUCACAACAAUUUCCCUCCUAACAACUUUUGACAUAUAUUUGAUCGCAUUAUGGCAAUCACCACAGAUCCUAAGGUUCUUGAAAACCCUGAUGGUGGCUCCACGGGGAAGUUUCAUAAGCCCAAAAGCAACUGCAAGCUUCUCACUGUGAGUAGACAAGGCAUAUUCUUUUUGGUCAAACUCCAUAUCAUGCAACACAAACUUUGUGUCAGGGACAUACCCUAAUUUUUUCAUUUCCUGGCACAGCUUAUCAAGAUAAUUGUAAACUGCAUGCACCUCAGGGUGCACAGCAUCAUCAACCAAGAAGACAUGGACCAUAUUUUCAACCUCGAGCCAACUACAACCAGGCUCCUUCUUAACCCCUCGGUCCCUCAUUAACUUCCGCACUUUCGCCACAUCAGCCCAUCUGCCUGCUACAGCAUACAUGUUUGACAAUUGUACAUAGGUUCCAUCAUGUUCAGGCUUCAGCUCAAAAAGCUGCUCGGCAGCUUUAAUGCCAAUAUCCAUGUUCCCGUGUAUCCGACAGCCAGCAAGAAGAGCCUCCCAAAUUGGAGCACCGGGCUCAACAGGCAUUGACUCCAUCACACUCUUUGCUUCUGAGAAUUUUCCAGCUCUACAUAACAAAUCAAUAACACGGGCAUAAUGAUCUUCACCUGGGAUUAUACCAUAAACAGCAUACAUUGAAUUGAAAUAAUGGUGACCUUCUUUAACUAAACCUGCAUGGCUACAAGCAGAGAGUACUGUAAGAAAGGUUAUCCGAUCAGGCAAUAUGCCUUCUGCCAACAUCUCUUCAAAAAGUUCAAUUGCUUGACCACCAUGGCCAUGUUGCCCCAGUGCUGCAAUCAUAGCAUUCCAUGAUACAGAAUCAACACAAGGCAUAGUAAGGAACAAAGAAUGAGCAGCUUCAACAACACCACAUCUUGCAUACAUUGUUAUGAGUGCAUUUCCUGCUGAAAGACUUGAAUCAAACCCAAACCUAACAAGUUGAGCAUGGAGCUGUCGUCCAUGCUCCAAUGUUCCAAGCACAGCACAAGAAGUAAUUGCUCCAGCAAAUGCAUAAUCGCAUGGUUCGAAGCCUAAUAUUUUCAUCUGGUUGAACAGUUUCAAACCCUCUUCCCCAAACCCAUUUUGAGCUAAGCCCGAUAUCAUUACAGUCCAUGUCAAUAUGUUUUUCUCAGGCAUCUCCUCAAAAAAGGAUUUAGCUUCUUUUAUCCGCCCAGCGUUCACAUAGCCGGAUAAAAUUGCAUUCCAUGAUACAAGGUCUCUCACCGGCAUAUAAUUAAAUAUCUCUCGGGCCUCAUAAACUCUACCACAUCUCCAAUAUAAAGUGAUCAAUGCAUUAUUCACAGGCAACGAAAAGUCUGGUGAAGGGUUGACCUCAGUUUUUAAUAUGUAAGCGUGCAACUCCUUACCAAGUUGAAAGAAACCAGCAUUCGCACAAACGCUAAUAAUACUAGUAAAUGUAAAUUCAUCCAAUUGCAUUCCUGAUAAAUACAUCUUCCUAAACAUCUCUAAUGCUUCUUUAUAUAACCCACGAUGCAUGUAGCCGGAAAUCAUUGCAUUCCACGCCACCACCAUUUUCUCACACAUCCCGCUCCCAUCAAAAAACUCUCUUGCUGAAUCGAGAUCAUCAUUCUUCACAUACCCAGUAAUAAUAGUAGUCCACGACAACUCAUCUUUCUCAGGCAUAUCAUCGAACAAUCUCCUAGCUACGCCCAUCAAGGACGAUGAUAUCACAGACGGCGAGGAUGCACACUUAACAUAAGUAGAUAUUAGCGCAUUCAACACUGAAGUAACAAACGCCGUCCCUGACUUCACCACCGCGCAAUGCAGCUGCAGGCACUGCCUUUCAUGUUCAGCAACAAGCGCCAAUGCACCAAUGACACUGGUAAAGGUAAAAUUAUCAGGGCUAAAGUCAUUCCUUCUCAUGUCACGAAAUAGUUCGAUAGCAGCAUGACCGUCAUUGUUGUGUGAGUAGGCAGUGAUCAUGGCGUUGUAGAAAACAGGGUCUCGCAUAUGUAACGGAGUUCCACAAAAUAUUUCUCUCGCAAGUUUUAGAUUCCCAGUUGUAGAGUAUGCAGAAAUCAACGUCGUUCUUGCAACAAUAUCUGGCUGGAGAAUUUCGUCGAACAGGUGGCGAGCGUAAGCGAGCAUUGAUGAUUUGCAAUAGAUAUGGAUCAAACGAUUGAGGAUGUGACCACAUGGCUUGAACCCAGAAGCUAUCAUGUGGGCAUGGACAGUACGGGCAAAGGAACAAGAUAUGGGGCUUUGAAGGCAACAUAAUUGAAGUUGGGAUGCGUAACGGUUCGCCCUGGCCUUGCUGGAGAACGAUCGAGUCACCAAGAAAGUGAAAAAUCGAGGACUAGAAUGGUGAGAAUACAUGAAAUAACCAAGAUUAUUAUUAUUGUGGCAAAGAACUCAUACCACGAUCAACAUGGAAUGGC
rnacentral:misc_RNA from 1 species